GGCCCCUUCCAACAUGAAGGAGCAGCAUUCGGGGUUCAAAAUGAGCUGAGUCUCAUCCUCUGGCUGCACCCACUGACAUUUAACCCAACCAAUGAGAAUGCGUCUGUCUGCAGAGCAGAAGGGCUGUGCAGCGGAGAGACGGUUUAGUUGUUUCAUUCUACUGCAGUGGAAGAACUUCUCUCAUCGGUUUGGCUUUAACUCCAAAGACAUGUUGCUUUACUUCUUCUUACCUUUCUUUCACUUCAUAGCUCGGGGUUCAAUGCAGCAGGAAACCAGCAUCAAACCUGAAAGUACUGAAGAACAUGUUUCAGAGGGCAGAAGCAUCAACCUGACCUGUAAAUAUCAAGGUACUAUCUACAGUAUCCAGUGGUACCGACAAUACCGGAGAUCCAUACCAGAGUUCCUGCUCUACAUCACAGAGGAAGGAUCGAUUCAUCAGACGGCUCCUGGUGUCUCAGCUCACAUUAACAAAGCAGACAAACGUGUUGAUCUGGAGAUCUCGUCUGCUGCAGUGUCAGACUCUGCUGUGUACUACUGUGCUGUGAAGCCCACAGUGACAGGAAACACCAAGACUCUGUACAAGAACCUCUGGAGCAAAGACAACUCUGUACACCAUCCACCAGAGGGAGUCUCCAUCUGAAUAUCUUCAGCAGGAUGUGACGAUACUGUGUGGAUUAUUCAUAGUGGUGAUGAAAAAGAAGAAGGACAAAAACAGCAUGAUUGAAAGAACUGAUGAUAAUGAGGUGUUGUGUAAUAUUUCUUAUAUGAACAACACUUCAUCAUGGAGUGGAAAUAAAUAUACUAUGACAUCUAAAAGAGCUAAAAUUAAAAGAAAUUACUAAUUCCAAAAAU